UCCUCCCUCUGGCGGCGUGCUUAACACAUGCAAGUCGAACGGGCUCUGUCUGGUUGUGUGCUGGGUGGGGUUAGUGUCGAACGGGUGAGUAAUACGUGAGUAACCUACCCUCUUCUUUGGGAUAAGCCUUGGAAACGGGGUCUAGUACUGGAUAUUCCUGUCUGGUCGCAUGGCUGGGUGGGGAAAGUUUUUUUCGGUGGGGGAUGGGCUCGCGGCCUGUCAGCUUGUUGGUGGGGUGAUGGCCUACCAAGGCGUCGACGGGUAGCCGGCCUGAGAGGGUGGACGGGGACACUGGGAGUGAGCUACGGCCCAGGAUCUGACGGGAGGCAGAAGUGGGGGCUAUUGGAAGAUGGGGGGAAGCCUGAUGAAGGGACGACGCGUGGAGGAUGACGGCUCUCGGGUUGUAAACAUCUUUCGUCGGGGGAAAAGGCUCUGCUUGGUGGUGGGGUUGAGGGUACCCGGUGAAGAAGCGCCGGCUAACUACGUG
rnacentral:rRNA from 1 species